GUAGAGAGGUGAGUAAGUAGCACAGAAUACAUUUGUAGAAGAUUGCCUUUGAGAUGUCUCUGAGGACGAGAAAUUGCCCAGCAGCACCAAUGCAGCAACAACAACUGCCUGAUCAAGAAAAGCCUGUCUAAGAGCACAGUCAAUCUGGGAUUUGCAGGCUAAUUAGAUAAUCAUAAAGAAUGUUUAUGUUUUUUGUCUCAAUGUAUUUUCUCUUCUCUGUCAUAGCCUAUUUGAUAUGCACCUUUAACUAACCCAACAGUACAAUGACUUAAUGUUUAAUAUUAGUAAUGUAAAGGUUAUGGGUAGAAGUUACUGGAUAAUGAUAAACACUAGGAUAAAUGUUUGGAUCAGCAUGUUAUAAAUCUAGUAUAUUUGCAAUACUCUAUGUUAAGAGAUGUUAUUUUGUAAUUUUGUCAAUUUAAACUGUAGCGUAACUGGCUGCAGGGAAGUCAGGCGCAGGAGAGCAGCACUGUAGGAAACGGAGCCCUUUAUUACGGCGAACAAACACACAGCACUAAGAAGAAGAAACAAAUACGGGUUGAUAUAAUCCGGCGCAAACCAGCCUGACGUGCACAUACACGUAACAACAAACACUUCCACACACAGACAUGGGAGGAACAGAGGGUAAUAUACAUUCAGUCUGAUGAGGGAAUGUGAACCAGGUGUGUGGGAAAACAAGACAAAACAAAUGGAAAAUGAAAGGUUGAGCGGCGAUGGCUAGAAGACCGGUGACGUCGACCGACGAACGCCGCCCGAACAAGGAAGUCGUGACAUAAACUUUGUUACACAGCAGUAUUUAUCAAACCCAUCGUUCUCAUGCCUGAGGGACCGCUUACCAGUCACCUGUCCACAACAACAGUCCCUGAACUGGUUUUGACAAAUGUUUAACUCUGAUCUACUGUUUUUUUUCCCUUCUUUUUCAUAUACUCAUUGUACAUUAAUAUGGUUCUGUAUCUUUGUGUGAUUUGUAACCAUGUAUGUACAUGUACAUUUUAUAUUGUAGAUGUUAACUUAAUAAUACAUUUCUUUAGUCUGUAAUAUAUUACUGGACUCUACAACAGUAUGGUGUGUUUUCUAUUGAUCAUUCAUUUCUGCUCACUCAAUGUCAUCUCUAUCUCAGUUUGAAAUGUAAAUGUUGCAUGUCAUGAUUUUUCCAGCAAUAAACAUGACUGCUUACAGAA